rnacentral:sRNA from 1 species
UGGCCGGCGAAUUGUGGCUCUCUUUUCCUCCUUGGCUGUCUGAAGAUAGAUCGCCAUCAUGAACGACACCGUAACUAUCCGCACUAGAAAGUUCAUGACCAACCGACUACUUCAGAGGAAACAAAUGGUCAUUGAUGUCCUUCACCCCGGGAAGGCAACAGUGCCUAAGACAGAAAUUCGGGAAAAACUAGCCAAAAUGUACAAGACCACACCGGAUGUCAUCUUUGUAUUUGGAUUCAGAACUCAUUUUGGUGGUGGCAAGACAACUGGCUUUGGCAUGAUUUAUGAUUCCCUGGAUUAUGCAAAGAAAAAUGAACCCAAACAUAGACUUGCAAGACAUGGCCUGUAUGAGAAGAAAAAGACCUCAAGAAAGCAACGAAAGGAACGCAAGAACAGAAUGAAGAAAGUCAGGGGGACUGCAAAGGCCAAUGUUGGUGCUGGCAAAAAGAAAUGAAGUGUCUAGCAGUGAGCUGGAGAUUGGAUCACAGCCGAAGGAGUAAAGGUGCUGCAAUGAUGUUAUCUGUGGCCACUGGAUUUUUCAC